UCUGCCGCCACCCCCGCGCCACAGGGUCGCGGCCAGCGCCGCGCUGCCCGUCCCCCUCAGCGCCCCGGCUGAGCCCUGCUGCGGAGCGGAGCCUGCCGCCUGCCCUUUGCGGUGUUCCCUCCCCGGCAGGUCCCGCACGGCGCGGCCCCGCAGCGCCGAGGCCCCUGAAGCGACUUGCCCGGGGGCUGUCGGGGGUCGCCCGGGCGGUCGGGAGCGAGAGGAGCCUAGGCCGAGUCACUUGGGCUCGUGCCGCCUGGGGUCGUGUUUUGGGGUCUGCAAGAGCCAGAAAAUGUCUGCAGAGCCCCUGACUGUUUUUUGGAGGUCUAAAGACUCCUUUGGGGGUUAUAGAGGGAAGCGGGGGAGAGCGGGAGGAGAGUGGAAGGUGAGGGCUGAGAUGGCCUGAAGCACUGUAGUGAAGGGGGAUGAGGAGCCAGAGCAUCUGUGGCAUUUCUUUAGUCUUCAGUAAAGAUCUUCAGUGAGUAACCUACCAUGGGAGUCGGGAUUUCAGCAGCCUCCAAAGUCUGUAAAGGCUGGCAUGGGACAGAGCACCGUCUGGGAAGCUGUGUCAGGAGCACUCACCUCUUGACACGGCUGCUAAUACGUGGUUAUUACAGCCCAUUUUGCUGAGAGCUGAGGUUUACCUCUGACAGCUGCUCUGGUGUUUUACCUCAUCUAAAAAUCAUAAACCUUUAAAAUACUCCUCUUUGUCUUUCAUAUUUGAAAUUAAAUAUUGUUACAAGCUUAGUAAGUUAGUUAUAAAAGGAUAUGAUUACAUAAAACAGAAGCAUCACCUUGGUAAGAGAUUUAUUUUGAAAUUAUGUCUAUAAAGUGCCAUUAAAGGAUGGUUUAAAAUAAGUCUUGGUACAGAUGAACUGACAGUGGGCUCUGAAUAUUUUUGCACACUGAGCAAACUGUUCAUUUACAUUAGUGGGGAAUCUGGUUCGUGAGAAAAAUUCUAAUUUUAUAAUCAAUCACAGAUUGUUUGCUCUCAUUUAAUUUAUGCUGUUUUACACCUUUAUAUAACCAACCUUCCUUCCUUCCUUCCUUCCUUCCUUCCUUCCUUCCUUCCUUCCUUCCUUCCUUCCUUCCUUCCUGUUACAAGGAGAAUUCUAGUCCGAAAUAAAGAAGACUAAUCACUCAUUCCAGUAGCAGGGGAGAGUGAAGUGUGGAGAACAGUCCUCCUCCCACGCAUUCAGUGCAAAAUUCCUGUUGACUUCAUGAAAGCAAAACUAGUUUUAAAACUCUCCAAACUAAUAGCAAAGUGAAAAAUUAUUUUGUGAUGCAAGGAAGAUAUGAGAAAUGUCUGUCCUAGUUACAAGUGACCAGUUGCAAUAUUUCAUAGAAACUUAUUAGUGAAAUCUAAUUCCAAACUCAUGAGGUAUGGAAAAUGCUCUUUAUUAUACCUUCAUUAUUAACUUAGACAGAGAAAUUUUCAGUGUUUUGCUGAAUAUAUAGCUUACUGUGUUGGAACUCUGGAAUAUAUGUCAUUUAAUACCUUCUCAAGAAGAAUCUGUUCUUUCCAGUCCUGCUUUAGUAGAAUGACUUAUUAAUGAUACAUAGUACAAAAGAGGACUGAAAUUAUAGUGUUCUCUCCAAGGCUGUGUGUCUUUGAAAGGAUGGCAGAUAUUCCUUAAAACAUUUUCAUUCAUAAAUACACUUACUUUUGUAUGGGCCCAAUCCUACAAGUGUUCUAAACGCAAAGCUGUUAAUUCUGUGUACAAGGUGCUUUAGUGGACAAAGCUGUUCAAUCUGUAGGUGAGAGGUGUCACAGAAACUUUUAAGAUCAAACCUUUCACUCUGUUGCCUCAUUUUCCUGUGUAUAAAGUAAAGCUCAUGUCUGGCUGUAAACCUAACUAGGUCAGGAGUAGAUUUUUUGAAAAUGUGUAAAAUCAAGUAAAGAAUUACAGUCACAGUUCUACAUUGUAGCUAUAGCAGUUCUACCAUAGCAGAACUCCUCCCUGGUUUUUGGCAAUUCAACAGUAACACCAUUAUCAUUAAAUACAGGGUAGUUCCUUACCAACAAAGAUGCCAGGAGCAAUACAGGUUACAAUCUCAGCAAAUUCCAAGACAAACUCCAAUAAAUUAUUUCCUGAUCAUGUGGAUAAUUUUUUUUUUGCAUCUUUGUUUUCUGGAAUUUUGACCAUUCUUCUGUUUUGAAUUACAUAUGAAUUUUAAAUUUUUCUUCAUAUUAUUGAGACUUUCAAUCAACAGUUUUCUCAGGCUUGCUUGAAUUUUUUUCCUUCUUGCAGUGUCUUCUGUAGUCUUAGGUCUAUUUUUACCACCAGUAUGUUUUGCCAGUUUCAUAUCCACAAGUCUAACCUUCUGCGUUGGAAGAACUUUGUAGUGUGUCAUUCAUGUAAA